rnacentral:rRNA from 1 species
UACGUAGGUCCCGAGCGUUGUCCGGAUUUAUUGGGCGUAAAGCGAGCGCAGGUGGUUUAUUAAGUCAGGUGUAAAAGGCAGUGGCUCAACCAUUGUAUGCAUUGGAAACUGGUAGACUUGAGUGCAGGAGAGGAGAGUGGAAUUCCAUGUGUAGCGGUGAAAUGCGUAGAUAUAUGGAGGAACACCGGUGGCGAAAGCGGCUCUCUGGCCUGUAACUGACACUGAGGCUCGAAAGCGUGGGGAGCAAACAGG